AGGGGGUUUCAAGAUAGGAAAGGAGGAGCCUUUCGCCGACGAGAGAGGAGGAUCGGCUGAAUGGGUUUGUGGCAGAAAUGGUUUUUCAAGAGUUUAUGAGGCUAGGCUUAGGGGUUUGAGGGUGGUGGUUUUGUUGGAAGUUGAAGUUUUGCUGUGGAUAGAGAGGAGAAAAGAUAGUGGCGGAGGUCAGGUUGACCGAGGGAAUCAGAAAGGAAGGCGGAGGUGUGAUAAAGAACUUGGGAUGAUACGGUGGUGGUGGUAGUAGUUGUCAUGGCAGCGGCGUUCUUUUAGUAGAAGAAGAGAAGGAAGAAGAAAGAGGAGGAUUUGAGUUUGGUGUUUAUGGGAUGGAUCUGUGGAGGAGGCGGAAAAGGGGCUGCAGGUAGUUUAAAUUAGCUUUGAAUUUUGGCGGCAGAGGUGGCAACUGAAUUUGAUGAAAGCCAAAAACUGGGGUCCCAGUUGCCGCACUCGCCGGCCUUUGCUCUAUUCGUCUCUACACACUUUACAUUUCUUACAGUUGAUUAUUGCUUCUUCUUCUUCCAUUUGUCAUUAAAUUUUCCAUCAUAUCAAACUAUAACACUGCCAUUU
rnacentral:misc_RNA from 1 species